rnacentral:rRNA from 1 species
UACGAAGGGGGCUAGCGUUGCUCGGAAUCACUGGGCGUAAAGCGCACGUAGGCGGACUCUUAAGUCGGUGGUGAAACCCUGGAGCUCAACUCCAGAACUGCCUUCGAUACUGAGAGACUUGAGUCCGGGAGAGGUGAGUGGAACUGCGAGUGUAGAGGUGAAAUUCGUAGAUAUUCGCAAGAACACCAGUGGCGAAGGCGGCUCACUGGCCCGGUACUGACGCUGAGGUGCGAAAGCGUGGGGAGCGAACAGG